rnacentral:rRNA from 1 species
UACAAUGCUGGCAACAGCGAUAAGGGAACCUCGAGUGCCGGGUUACAAAUCUGGCUGUCGAGAUGCCUAAAAAGCAUUUCAUAGCAAGGGCCGGGCAAGACCGGUGCCAGCCGCCGCGGUAACACCGGCGGCUCGAGUGGUAACCGUUAUUAUUGGGUCUAAAGGGUCUGUAGCCGGCCGGAUAAGUCUCUUGAGAAAUCUGGCAGCUUAACUGUCAGGCUUUCAGGAGAUACUGUCUGGCUCGAGGCCGGGAGAGGUGAGAGGUACUUCAGGGGUAGGGGUGAAAUCUUGUAAUCCUUGAAGGACCACCAGUGGCGAAGGCGUCUCACCAGAACGGACCUGACGGCAAGGGACGAAAGCUAGGGGCACGAACCGGAUUAGAUACCCGGGUAGUCCUAGCCGUAAACGAUACUCGCUAGGUGUCGGCCACGGUGCGACCGUUGUCGGUGCCGUAGGGAAGCCG